GACGAACGCUGGCGGCGUGCUUAACACAUGCAAGUCGAACGGAAAGGCCCUGCUUUUGUGGGGUGCUCGAGUGGCGAACGGGUGAGUAACACGUGAGUAACCUGCCCUUGACUUUGGGAUAACUUCAGGAAACUGGAGCUAAUACCGGAUAGGAGCUCCUGCUGCAUGGUGGGGGUUGGAAAGUUUCGGCGGUUGGGGAUGGACUCGCGGCUUAUCAGCUUGUUGGUGGGGUAGUGGCUUACCAAGGCUUUGACGGGUAGCCGGCCUGAGAGGGUGACCGGCCACAUUGGGACUGAGAUACGGCCCAGACGCCUACGGGAGGCAGCAGUGGGGAAUAUUGCACAAUGGGCGGAAGCCUGAUGCAGCAACGCCGCGUGCGGGAUGACGGCCUUCGGGUUGUAAACCGCUUUCGCCUGUGACGAAGCGUGAGUGACGGUAAUGGGUAAAGAAGCACCGGCUAACUACGUG
rnacentral:rRNA from 1 species